rnacentral:rRNA from 1 species
GGCGGCGUGCCUAAUACAUGCAAGUCGAGCGAGCUGAACCAACAGAUUCACUUCGGUGAUGACGUUGGGAACGCGAGCGGCGGAUGGGUGAGUAACACGUGGGGAACCUGCCCCAUAGUCUGGGAUACCACUUGGAAACAGGUGCUAAUACCGGAUAAGAAAGCAGAUCGCAUGAUCAGCUUAUAAAAGGCGGCGUAAGCUGUCGCUAUGGGAUGGCCCCGCGGUGCAUUAGCUAGUUGGUAGGGUAACGGCCUACCAAGGCAAUGAUGCAUAGCCGAGUUGAGAGACUGAUCGGCCACAUUGGGACUGAGACACGGCCCAAACUCCUACGGGAGGCAGCAGUAGGGAAUCUUCCACAAUGGACGAAAGUCUGAUGGAGCAACGCCGCGUGAGUGAAGAAGGUUUUCGGAUCGUAAAGCUCUGUUGUUGGUGAAGAAGGAUAGAGGUAGUAACUGGCCUUUAUUUGACGGUAAUCAACCAGAAAGUCACGGCUAACUACGUGCCAGCAGCCGCGGUAAUACGUAGGUGGCAAGCGUUGUCCGGAUUUAUUGGGCGUAAAGCGAGCGCAGGCGGAAGAAUAAGUCUGAUGUGAAAGCCCUCGGCUUAACCGAGGAACUGCAUCGGAAACUGUUUUUCUUGAGUGCAGAAGAGGAGAGUGGAACUCCAUGUGUAGCGGUGGAAUGCGUAGAUAUAUGGAAGAACACCAGUGGCGAAGGCGGCUCUCUGGUCUGCAACUGACGCUGAGGCUCGAAAGCAUGGGUAGCGAACAGGAUUAGAUACCCUGGUAGUCCAUGCCGUAAACGAUGAGUGCUAAGUGUUGGGAGGUUUCCGCCUCUCAGUGCUGCAGCUAACGCAUUAAGCACUCCGCCUGGGGAGUACGACC